rnacentral:rRNA from 1 species
GAUGAACGCUAGCGGCAGGCUUAAUACAUGCAAGUCGUGGGGCAGCAUGAAGUAGCAAUACUUUGAUGGCGACCGGCAAACGGGUGCGGAACACGUACACAACCUUCCUUUUAGUGGGGAAUAGCCCAGAGAAAUUUGGAUUAAUACCCCGUAACAUAGCGAUGUGGCAUCACAUUGCUAUUAUAGCUUCGGCGCUAGAUGAUGGGUGUGCGUAUGAUUAGAUAGUUGGCGAGGUAACGGCUCACCAAGUCUACGAACAUUAGCUGAUGUGAGAGCAUGAUCAGCCACACGGGCACUGAGACACGGGCCCGACUCCUACGGGAGGCAGCAGUAAGGAAUAUUGGUCAAUGGACGAGAGUCUGAACCAGCCAUGCCGCGUGAAGGAUUAAGGUCCUCUGGAUUGUAAACUUCGUUUAUAUGGGACGAAAAAAGGUCUUUCUAGAUCACUUGACGGUACCAUAUGAAUAAGCACCGGCUAACUCCGUGCCAGCCGCCGCCGUAACAC